rnacentral:rRNA from 1 species
UCCGUACUGGAUCAGGCGGAGAUUUAGUGCGUAUCAUAUGAUACGGGAGGAGUCGACUCAUCACACAUCUAGUGCCCAUCGGUCUGAGAGGAUGACCCAGGGUAUCUAGUCUGAGACGCUGCCCAGACUUUUGCACGUCAGUGCCAGUAGGAUUCCAGCGAGCUGCCCGAAAGGCUGGUGUUCCUCCUGAUAUUUGGGCAUUAAGGCGCUACGCCAGGAAUCCCACUUCAGUCUUCCGUAAUCUAGAUCAACAGUAUCAGAGGAAGCUCAACGGUUGAGCCGUUGAGCAGCCGGACAGAUUGAGUAAUCCACAUAGUUGUUCGGAAUCCCCAAGGAUAAAGGGCAACUCGCGCUCCCUAUAAAUAGGGGGGGAAAUUGCCAGGUUCUUAGCCGGAGCUUCUUCUGAAGGUACCGUCAAUGAGAUCGGUUGAUCCCGGUGGAACUUUCGUCCCAUCGAAAGAGGUUUACAACUCUAAAACAGUCUUCCCUCAGACGGCGGUGUUGCGGCACGCUUUCGCGCAUGAGGCAAGAUUCCCCGGGGAGCCAACCCGUAGGAGUAUGGGCCGAGUCUCAGUCCCAAAGUGGCUGAUCAACCUGUCAGGCCAAGUGACCCUUGUGGCCCUGGUAGGCCUUGCCCCCAGUCAACAAGCUGAUAAGU